CCUGACAACCAAAACUAUAUGACAUCAAUUAUCCUCUGUUGGUCAGCCUUCGUCAUUCUCAUCAUUAUUCUGGUCAUUUUUUAUUGGUGGCGGAAAAAGAAGCAUCAUACAGAAAACCUUGAUUCGAAACAGACUACAAACUGUGACCAAGCUGCCGCCAUCUCUUUGAAUGUGAGUCUGUUAGGACCCCCUCCUCUCCCUUUGGAGCCCACUGACAUAGAACUCAAACCCAGAAGCACCUAGGAGGCUCUAUGGGAGAUAUUGACUGUAGGUUUAAACUUCUGCUGCCCCUGAGAUGAACCCCGGUUACUGAGCUGACUCCAAGUGGACCCCUUAAAGCUGUGAACCCCUCUAUUCCUGGCUCACCUCAUCCUGACAGGAAGAGAGGGGGAGGGCUUUAUGACAGCCACAAUGAACAAAGGAGCCCCCUUCAUUCUUCCUCUCACUUUACUUAGAAUGACUUGUAUGUUAAGGUUAAUAUUAGUUAAUGUUACAGUGAAUGUAUUCCAAAAUCACUUAUGUUGAUUUCUCGUUUGAAUGCAUGCUUAUUGUCUUAGUAGAAGGAAUUGUCAUUGUUAGACAAAUAGACAAAUUCCUAAUAUGUGUAAACGUAUUAUGCGAUAAACCUUUUCUGAUUCUGAUUCUGAUGAAUUAGAUAUCACUUAAAUUUCAGAGCCCUUUCUAGAGCCCUCCCUCUCAGGCUUAACUGUCAUCACCUUUAAACCAUUUGCCCUGCUGCUGGUAAUAAAAGUGUAA